rnacentral:lncRNA from 1 species
AUAUAGCUAUAACUAAAUAUUUUCUUUCAUCUUAACAUUGUCAAUGAUCUAUGUAAAAUAUCAUCAUGAUCAGAUGAAGCCUUCCAGGCAAACAAGUUAGCCUAUAUAUUAUUCCAUAUAGCAAAUACAGUUGUAUGAAAAUCAGACAUAUACCCAAACAUAAGUAUGCCAUAUUUUGUCUAUCUGGUUUUGACAUUGUGAUCAACGUCUGAAUUGAAAAAUAAUGUAACAAAUUUCAAUGUAUCAUUCAUAAUAACAUCAAUUACUUAUAUAUCAUAUCGAUGUCAACUACAGAUAAACAAUAAUUGUUUGAAAUGUAAUUAGCA